rnacentral:lncRNA from 1 species
UAACAUAGGAGCCUGAGCACUAAACCCAGCAAUGUUAAAUUCUUUUAUUCCCAUGGAGAUUUCCUACCCACCUCCCCCAACACACACUUCGUUAUAUGUGGGAGCGGACAGAGUGAGAGAUGUAUGCCCCCAAAAAGAUGAAUAAUACAGGACAUAAGUAUUUUAAUUGCAUCCCUAUUAAAUUUAUCAUUUUAAGUUCCCUUCCCAUUCCACUCCCCUCCAUCCUUCCACGCAAGUAUUUUUUGAUGAAAACACGAGUCUUUCUCAUCACUCAUAGAGAGACAUGAGGAAAACAUCAUUCAGCCAAGAUAAGAGACACCAACCUUCAUGGCCAGGAGUGGAAGGGAAUCCUCUGAAGAGCCUGUAAUUACUUGGUUCCAAGAGUCAUUGUUGAUUAAUGGAAAGUUUACCCUUCCUUUCCAAGAGUGGAGUCUGUUGUCUCCCAGAAUCCAUAGUUCCUGCCAAUUCAAACUGAGAACCCUGAGGAGAUUAAGGGUCGAUACUCAGCCCAAGUAACCUGCAUAGGACCUGGCUUGAUGUUUUGGGGACAUGGAGAGAAAACAGAAAUAGUACCCAGGGUCCUGUCGCCCCAUGCAUCCUCCACAAGGGGAAGGGGAAAGAAGAGGAAGGAUCUUUUCAUUAACAGUUUCUCUGUCUCCAUUCCUUGUCUAUCCACUCCUCUGCAAGUAAGUAGUUCCUCUGCAACCAGCUAGCAGAAGCCAUUUUUGUGUGGCAGAACAGUUUUGGCUAUGCUGCCAAAAGUCCCACUGCUGCCACAGUGACAAGAUUGCUCCUCUGUAUGUGUUACACUUGCCUAACCUCAACCAUUUAAGAUUCAGGCUUUGGCCAGUGUGCACAAGCCCUCACAUCUGUCUCCCCAGAGUCCCAGAACUUUAGUGGUGCUGGACCUGCAAGUGAUGGCAUGUCCACAGGUGCUAUAGAUGUUAGUGACAUUAGAAUAGACUGGAGGUAGCUAUAGAAACUUGAUUCUCUCU